GCAAACUUGGUCAUUUAGAGGAAGUAAAAGUCGUAACAAGGUUUCCGUAGGUGAACCUGCGGAAGGAUCAUUACAAAUCCAACGUCUCUCAUGAGACCACGUUGAAACUCUUCAUGGGCUUGUAUUGUCCUUGGCUUGGCUUGUCCUUGCCAAGGCGUGCAGCCAUAACCACUUGAUUUAUGUUGCUCAAUGUGUAUUUAAAGUACAACAACAAACCUAGAACAACUUAUAACAAUGGAUCUCUAGGCUCUUGCAUCGAUGAAGAACGCAGC
rnacentral:misc_RNA from 1 species